AGCAGUCGCCACGGGAAAACAGAGGGUGCAAGCGUUAAUCGGAAUUACUGGGCGUAAAGCGCGCGUAGGUGGUUUGUUAAGUUGGAUGUGAAAGCCCCGGGCUCAACCUGGGAACUGCAUCCAAAACUGGCAAGCUAGAGUACGGUAGAGGGUGGUGGAAUUUCCUGUGUAGCGGUGAAAUGCGUAGAUAUAGGAAGGAACACCAGUGGCGAAGGCGACCACCUGGACUGAUACUGACACUGAGGUGCGAAAGCGUGGGGAGCAAACAGGAUUAGAUACCCCGGUAGUCCCUGUCUCUUAUAC
rnacentral:rRNA from 1 species